rnacentral:rRNA from 1 species
GACGAACGCUGGCGGCGUGCUUAACACAUGCAAGUCGAGCGGUAAGGCCCUUUCGGGGGUACACGAGCGGCGAACGGGUGAGUAACACGUGGGUGACCUGCCUUUAGCUCUGGGAUAAGCCUGGGAAACCGGGUCUAAUACCGGAUAUGACUCCGCGGCGCAUGUUGUGGGGUGGAAAGCCUUGUGCGGCUGGAGAUGGGCCCGCGGCCUAUCAGCUUGUUGGUGGGUGAUGGCCUACCAAGGCGACGACGGGUAGCCGGCCUGAGAGGGCGACCGGCCACACUGGGACUGAGACACGGCCCAGACUCCUACGGGAGGCAGCAGUGGGAAUCUUGCGCAAUGGGCGAAAGCCUGACGCAGCGACGCCGCGUGA